UGUUUAUUAUUUUCAAUGAAUUAACCCAGCUGCUGUGAACUUCAGUUAGAGGACAGUACUGCAGGUCAGGUGGGUGAAGUGCAAUCAGAUGGGAGUAACUUGUCGUCAGGUAGGAAUCUCCCCAGCUGCAUGUGUUUUAUCACUUUAUGACAAGAAGUAAGACACUAAUUUUACUUGGCACAGGGCUAAUUAUCAUUCCAUUUCUUUCCUGAACUUUGUUUUCCUACUGGAAAGGAUGAAUUUGAAUAUUUGUCUGGAAUUUCGUAGUUGUGACUGAACUUAGAACAACUUCACCUGAGCAGCCAGUCUGCCAUGCUCAUUCCUGUUCACAUGAUGUCUGAUUCUGAGAGUUCAAGAUUCAUGGUUGUCCUACCAGCAGAACCACUGUUCCCCAAAAGAAAAGCUUCAAGAAUUAUUAUGAAGGAUAUGAAGGGCAUAUUCUGAAUAAGGCAAGCCAUGCAAUUCUCAGAGGUUGGCUCCAUGAAUUUGUGUUAAGAUGCUCACCCACAGCUUCUUUUCUUCAAUACUGACCACUUUGAUGCUCAGGUCUUCAUUUUCAUUCCUUGCAAUAGACUUCAUUAGGUUUUUGGAUAUGUAUUGAUAUUUUAUGAACUACCUGAGGACUCAUUCAUGCUCUCUCUUACUUAUUUAGUGUCUUCUUGUACCCCAAACUUCAAAUUACAUGUGAAGACUUUAUGAGAGACACCCAUUUGUAUUGCUAGUUUAACAUACUCAACUUUGAUGUGCCCAUUGCACAUGUUUUGACAUAUGUUGCACAUUCUUUGUAUAAUUUGUGCUCCUUUUUGAAAUUCUAAAAUAUCUAAAAUAUCUAUCAGUACUUUCCAAACAAGGUAAGCAUAAAUAAGGUUACAGUGGAUACUGGAAACAGUGAUGUGUAACAUCCACCUACGUUGUGCAAGUGUGUCACUACACAGAGUCACUGCCAGCCUACUUGUGUUUCCCUCAG
rnacentral:lncRNA from 1 species